AGUUCCCAGGCUAGGGGUCGAAUCAGAGCUAUAGCUGCCAGCCUAUGCCAGAGCCACAGCAAUGCAGGAUCUGAGCUCCAUCUUCGACCUACACCACAGCUCACCGCAACACUGGAUCCUUAACCCACUGAGCGAGGCCAGGGAUCGAACCCUCAACCUCAUGGUUCCUAGACGGAUUCGUUAACCACUGAGCCACAACGGGAACUCCUGGAACUCCUAGCUUUUAAUGGGAUUCUUCUUUUUCAUGACCCAUGGAGUGUCCCUGUGUAUCUUCAUUUGCAGCCAUUCUUUAAGCAAAAAGUGGACCACUAAAUGUACCUUUUUUUGCAACUUCUCAUCAGUCUAUAAUUAUUUCAAAGUAAAAAGUUUUAAACUAUUGCCAAAUUUCCAUCUUGCCUGGGAAAUUUUUGCAGCUGGUAAUUUUUAACCAAUCAAGGUUCUUUUUGGGGAAUUGGCCAUCAGUUUGAAGAAUCACUGAUGUGAGAUGGGCACAAUGUGUCAGCCUACAAGGAACAACAAAGCACAUUCACAGACCUGCAUCAUAAGGUCCACCCCAUGGCCUUCUCCAGCAUCCAGCUGAGGGCCACGCUGCCUUGAAAAAGCCUCUUUAGAAAUGAAAGUUAACUUGUCGUGGAAGAAUCUCUACUAUCUCUGGUGCCACUAAUCCUCCUGAACAAGAAGAACUCAUCAGGGCACAGAAUGAGCCUGAGACAGAGUCCUUCAGUGGGUGGGGAGGAAUUAGCCAUGCUCCUUGUCUGGCUGCUUACUGCCUCUGAUAUUUACUGAUAUGUAUCAGUUCCAAAUCCUGACAAAGACAGAUCACAGGACUGCUGGGUUCUGGGAACAGAGUGUGCAAUAGAAAAGCCAAACAAUCUUAUGUGGAAGGUCAAGGCCAGUCCUGAGCAGAGCCUGUCCCUUGUCCUCGGGGGAACAGCGUGCAUGGUCACCCAGAAAAUUUACUCUCUGUAAAACACCUUGAGCACCUAGGAAUAGUUCCUGAAAUAAGACACUGACAUGAAGAACAGAAGGAGGCUAAAGGAAGUCAUUAAAAGAUUUGUUCUGCAGGCACCUGUCUGAAAUGCAAUCUUUGCCCCUUUUUUUAAAGAGGGAAAGGAGGGAAGCAAAGGACUCCAUAGCUUCACCUACUUAAUGAGGCUGAUCCUGGAAGUGCGUGGAACUCAUUUCAGCCCAUCCUGCCCAGAAACGCUCUGGCAAAUAAAGGAGGUUUGUCCCCAGUGGGUAGCAGAGGAACCUGUUGAAGGCGGUUAUUUGGAAGAAGGCUGAGACUUUGAAAAGAUAGUUGUGUGCUGCACACAACAUAAACUCAGAGGGAGAAGAAGAUCUGCUAGCAGAAACUGGGAAGAUGAAUGACAGGGCAGGGAAUACAAAGAGCUCACACACAAGCCAUUUCACAGGCCACCCCGAAACUGCCCAUUCAUCUUGUGCCUUCAGCCUACCAAAAGCCCUGCUGGCCUCUCUGGAAAUAGAUUGCUAAAUAGCCUGAGCUUUUUUUGGUUUGUAGAAUUGGUGAAUCAAAGGGGCAGCAGAUUUAUUUUAUGCCUCUGAAGAUCAUUUAUAACAUGGCUAAGUGGCCCAGGGUAAAAACCACAAUAAAGGUGAUUCAUGCAGGAAACCCAUUCUGUUGAGGCAGAGAUGAAAAUCCCCAUUAAAUCACAGUCUAUUCCGUGCACGGGGUCGGAGUAGGGUGGCGUUGGAGUGAGCCAAGCUCAGUGGAUUCCCAGGCACACUGAAGGCUGAAUGCAAUUGUUCUUGUAAAAUGGGAAAAUGAGACUCCUUUAAAGGGAGAAUGCAGCCUCCAGCCUUGAGCAGGGCACUCCAGACAGGGGUGAGCUGCCCAGUGGCCCUGCCAAGUGGCCGUCUGGGACUAUAUUCCCAGAUGGCAGCCAGCCUGGAGAAUCUAUUGAAUUAUCACCAGUUCCUUGCCAGGAGGUUUUUCAUCAGCUCCACCAUUUAUCAAGACAAAUGGACCCCAUACAAAAAGCCACCUUUGCAAAUUACCCUUAAAGGGGCAUCUGUGUGACGGGAGUUAGGGACGUCUUCUGCUUCUUGGCAGUUGAACUCAACUGCAAAGUUAUUGUAUUUUCUCCUGGCUGGGAUCACCUGAGAGAGCCUCACCUUCACCUUCCCUACUCGCCCUGAAAAUCUAACGUAUUAAAAAUGACGUACGUGCAAGAGCAGGUCAGGUCAGAGGGCAUGUGUGAACCCACUAUUUUCCAGGUGACCUCUCUUUGUGACAAAAAUUCUUCUCAGCUUCUUUCUCUUCCUUCAGCUGGCGCGGCAUUUCUUCCUUUUCCCUUCUGCUAUCUAAUCACUUUUCACUCCGAGGCAUUGGUAAGAAUCAAGUCAAGUGCUUUCUGAGUCCAGAUCCUCACUUUUUCAGUGAGAAGUUGACUGGGGCCACAUCAAAAGGCACCCCCCCCACUUUUUUUUUUACAAAUUAACCAAAAAUGUAGAUUCUUUUUAGUACAUCUAAUGUGGGGUUUUCCUUCUCCAUCGGUUCUUUCCCUUGCCUUGGCCUUUAUUCACACAGUACGGUUGCAACUUCAAAUAGUCAUUCCCGGUGAAAGACCUCUCACACAAGCUGGCUGACAGCAAGGAAUCUGAAAUGGAGACAAUCCGUAACUCCACACAGAUCAGGGUGGUACUGGCCAUAAAUCAUGGGUCCUCUUCUGUUGUCUUUAUUGAAUGCUGACAGUGGUCAUUGUGAUACAUUCUAAAGGGUGGUCCACGCAGCAUGUCCAGAGCUGUGAUAAAGGCAGGAAUUCCAUCCACAAUGAAUUUAGCAAAGACAAAAACCUCAUCAAAGCAAAGCCCCUUCCCUGAGAAAAAGUAAAAUCUGUUAACUUGUUACACUUUUGUCAAAAGUGCUGAUUUCCAUAGAGGUAACUGUCAGCCAUUGUGCUUAUGGACAAAACACCUGAAAAACAGAUUUAGAUGAGAACUGGUGGCUUUCUUCAAAAAUAAUUCCUGUCUAUUCUUAUGCCGGGAAGGGAUGCGCUGCAAACAUUAGCAGUAAGGAUGGUUUAUUUUAUGGGAAAAGCAAUCUGGUAGAUUUCAGACAGAACACUAAACUUGUGUGGUCAUGCAAAUCUCAUAAGCAUGAACUAAAACAUGCCGAGUACAUCAAUUAACCAGAGCUCCUAUUAGAUUUUUUUUUUUUCCUACAAAAAUGGUUUCUCAUCUCAAAACAUCUUUUAAGUUGUUUCCCUUUCAAAGACUAAGGAUGUGCUUGUGGUAACAGACUGCUUCUCAUCACUAUUUGGAGAGAAUUGAUCUAAUGAAGAGUUUCUAUUUAGGAAGAAGCAGUAGGAGGAAAGGGCAACCUAGCUUUGGAGCUUCCACUAGGCUGGGUGGAGUUUCGCAGGCUGAAGAAGCAGCUGGAAAUUCGGAUGACAGUUUUGAAAGAUGGAUGAUCAGGAAAAGGUCACCGAAAUUGAAAUGGUGGGUGGAAAAGUGGAGCAGGCCAGGAGAAGGUGGCAAAACUGAAUCAUCUCAUGCGUGUUAAAGCUUUUAAGGAACUCUUUUCUUUUUACUUCAAACAGUUUGCUAUUCUCCCUAGUGACUAACUGUCCCAUGAACUGAAUAGACUACUGGCCUUUUUUCUCCCACCCAAACCAAUUCUAAAAGCAAUUUUUUAAAUCCAGUGUAUAUGAUAAAAGAUAUACAAGACCUGAGUCAAAUUGUGAAUGUGUGUCUUUUGCUUAAGUAUGAAUUUUUUAAGGUGAAUGUUUGUUCCCAAACUACCUUAAAAACAAUGUGUGUAUUGACAAAACUAACUAUAACUUAGAAAAUUCCUUUGGCACAAGCUGGCAUGAUCAGCCACAAAAUCUUCUUCUGACUUAAAAGCUGAACCAAAUAAAACUUGACAGCAAGGCACAAUAUUUUAUAGGCAAAGUGACAUUUUAUAAUAAUGGAAUAAUAAAUGCAGAAGGGAAAAUGAAGCAAGGCUGAAAUAUCAUCUCAGACCCAUUGGCUACCAAAGAGGGGUGAAUCUCAGUUAGACCUUUCCUAUUCCUAUUGCACUAGUAAUUAUGGCAUGACUGAAGCACUCUUAAACUUAGAGAACGCCAAUAUUUCUAAUCAUGUUGUCACAUAUCUCCCAUCACUUGUUUCUAUGAGAAUCUGAUGAUACAGUGUGGAAGCCUUGGUAGCAUGCUGAAGUGGAUGGAAGAAAGCGAUGGAAAAAUCACAGGACCACUUUAUCAAGCACUUCGAUUUGGAACCAAAUCCAGCAAUGUUUAAGUCAUCCUGAUGAACACAGUCAACCCAAAGCAUAUCUACAAUUUGACAUAAAUCAGAUUACAAAUGGAAUGAAUAAAGACCACAAAAUGUGUUUUGGGUUCACAAUGGACUCCAGACUGGAAAAAGCCCAUCAGUCCUCAUUUUCUUCACUUAGAAAGAGACCUUUCCACAAAAGGAUGAUGUUGGCGUAAUGGAGAAAAUAAACCGAGGCAACAAGGAACUUACAAUCAUCAAAUUUGUAGGUAAAACAAUGAUUCAAUGUAUUUGUUACUGAUUUAUGUGAUAGACAUUUAUUGAUGCCCACUCUAUCCAGGGUUCUUUGGGAGGUGAUGGAGGACAAGUGGAAAUGACCCAAGUAUCUUACUUCUAGAUUUUCAGUUUCACUGGGUCUGGCGAAGGGCCUAGAAACAGGUCAUUUUUUUAAACUACUAAGAUGAUUCUAAGGAUAAGCAAGUUGGGAACCCAUGGUCUGAAACUGAUUCUUAAUCUGUAUUGCCUGGUAGGUCAGAGAGAGAAUAGUAGGGAGGAAUUAGAGCUGAUGCAGAGAGCACUGGUCCUAACUCUGGUCUCCAUGCCUGUAGGACAGUAUCUAUAGCAUGUGUUACUGGGGAAAAGACUCAGGACUUUUGAUCCAAACACAAUUUUACUGCUUAGAAGCUGAGUGACCAAGGCAUUCAACUCCUUGAAGGGGUAAUUAUACCCACUUUCAGAAUCAUGAAACACUCCAAAUGAGAGCAUAAUGAGGCUCUGCCCAAUGCCUGGUUCAUUGUGAGGCUGUGUUUCUGUCCUUUCUUGCAAGUGGCUUACCCUCUCUUUUUCCCUUUUUCCUUUAAAAAAUUGUUUUCAUUCUUCACAACCCAAUCCCAACCCACAUUCUCCAUAAAAGCCUCUCAACAUCCCACCACCCCAUCCUCUAAGGCUCACUGAUUCCCUCUGUCCUCCUUCAGCCUUUAUAUUCAGGAUCACACAAUCUGAUGCUCAAUUGCCCUUUCAUUAGUUCAUGAGGAUCGCUUUGGCUUUCCUGGCUGGGUCCUCCCUGAGCACUUGGACCAUGUUUUCUUCCAUAGAUAUACAAAAAAAUUACUUGCUGGUUGGUCAAAAGUACCUGUUGGGCUGCUGCCUAAAGAGGGGAGGGGACACCCUCACUUUUCUGUCGACCUAAGGCAGUGGGGACUGGCCAUCAUUGCUACCGCCUCUGACAGGCAUUAGUAUUCUGAAAUAAUCAUCAGAAUGCCAGUCUCCUUCCACUCCCACUCACUUAUUUUGUUGGAAAAAUGCAAAACCUGCAUUUUCUCAUAAACCAGAUUUUACUCUAUGCUAGGAGUGAAUGCACCCUCUGUGUUUAGCAUCCCAAUGUGAUAAUUAUGCAUUAUGCUUACUCUAUGGCUAAAUCCUACAUUUCUAUCCUAAAACACAAGGGAAUGACUAAAUACUCUAGUGUGUUAUCUGGCCCUUCCUUUCCAUUGUGAUUUUUUUCUUAUCAUCCAGAUUGCUCCCAUGCUGAACUGUGCCUAUAAAAAUAACUGAGAAACCUCACAUGUGUAUGUAACUUGAAAGGUGAGUGACAAGAAGAGGUGAAUUGCAGGGACAUCGGUGACAGAAAACACAUGAUCAUAUUGGGAAGAGGUAGCAGUGUGUGCAUGUGAGCGUGUGCACGUGUGUGUGUGUGUGUGUGUGUGUGGCAGUAUGCCUAUGGAGAAAGCAGAUUUUUUUUUUUUACUGGAAAACAAAAGCUGUGUUAUGUAAGCAGCACGGUUUGAAAUGGCUUGUAUAGCAAGAAUGGAAACAAGGUAUGAAUAUUCAUAAGUAAAAUGGAAGACGUGUUCAUUUGUAGGAGGAAGUGAAGAUGAAAUUCUGAAUAUUAUUUGACCACAAUUUUAUGCAGAAUGCUUUAGAUGUGUAGAUCACAUAAUACAUAAUACAAAUUCAAAACCAACUAACCUCAUUGCCUAUAUUUCCCCCUUCUUCACACUAAUAACCAGUUUGUUAAUAUUUCCACAUAUUAUUCAGGCAAUUUGUCUUAAACAAAUUUGAUUCUUGUAUUGUUGAAGACAGAAAAGUGAAAGAAGAAAGAAAUAAUGAAAACAAGAACCAUAACCAAAAAUUAACUCCAAAUAAAUCGAAGGAUUAAACAUAAGAGCCUAAACUACAAAAUUCAUACAAGAAAACAUGAGGGUAAAUGUUUGUGACCUUGAGUUGGAUAGUGGAUUCUUAGGUAUGACCCCGAAACGUAAGCAAGAUGAGAAGAAAAAAUAGAAGUUGGACUUCUUCAAAAUUAAAAACUUACAGGUUUUCAACAGACACUAUCAAGAAAGUGAAAAUACAACCCGCAAAACAGGAGGGAAGAUUUGCAAGUCAUAUAUCUGAUAAAAGACCUUCCAUCUAGAAUAUGUAAAGAACUCAUAGCUCAGUAAUAAGAAGUAAUCCAAUUAAAAAUGGGCAAAGCAUCUGUACAGACAUUUCUGCAAAUGGCCAGUAAGCACAUGAAAAGAUGCUCAACAUCACUAGUCAUCAGAGAAAUGCAAAUCAAAACCUCAAUGAGAUUCUACUUCACACACACUAGAAUGGCAAUAUAGGCAUACCUUGAAUAUACUGCACUCUGAUAAAGCAAUUACCUCAAUAAAGGGAAUCAUACUAAAUUUUUGGUUUCCCAGUACAUAUAAAAGUACAUAUGUCUACACUACACUGUAAUUUAUUAAGUGUGCAAUAGCAUUAUAUCUAAAAAACCAUGUACAUACCUUAAUUUAGAAAUAUUCCAUUGUUAAUCAUCAUCUGACAACGCAGGUUCCAUGAACCUUUUAAUUUGUAAAAAUGCAUCAUCUGUGAAGCACAAUAAAGUGAAGCACAAUAAAAUGAGAUAUGCCUGUAACCCAAAGUCAGAUAACAAGUGCUGGUGAGGAUGUGGAGAAAAUGCAACCUUCAUAUCCUCUAGGGGGAAUGUAAAAUGGUAUAGCAACUUUGGAAAACAGUUUAGCAGUUCCUGAAACAGUUAAACAUAGAAUUAACAUUUGACUCAGUAAUUCCACUCCAGAUAUAUACCCAAAAGAAAUGAAAACAUAUGUCCACACAAAGACUUGUACACAAGUAUUAGUAACGGCACUAUUGAUAAUAGCCUAAGUGUAGAAACAACUCAAAUCUCCAUCAGUUGGUGAAUGGAUAAACAAAAUGUGGUUAUUCAGGCAAUGGGAUGUUAUUCAGCCAUAAAAAGGAAAUGAGUACUGAUCUCAUGCUGUAUCAUGGAUGAAUCUUGAAAACACUGUGCUAAGUAAAAGAAGCCAGUCAUAUAAGACCACAUAUCAUACAAUUCCAUUUAUAUGAAGUGUCCACAAUAGGCAAAUUUCUAGAGAUAGAGAGUAGAUUAGUGGUUGCUUAGGUCUGUGGAGAAUGUAAGGGUGAUAACUAAAAAGAUAUGGGCUUCCCUUUUGAAGUGACAGAAAAUGUUCUAAAAUUGACUACGAUGACGGUUGCACAACUCUGUGAAUAUACUAAAUAAACACUGAACUGCAUACUUUAAAUGUGUAAUGUAUAUGAAUUAUUAUUUCAAUAAAACUUUGCAAAAGAGU
rnacentral:lncRNA from 1 species